GACGAACGCUGGCGGCGUGCCUAAUACAUGCAAGUAGAACGCACAGUUUAUACCGUAGCUUGCUACACCAUAGACUGUGAGUUGCGAACGGGUGAGUAACGCGUAGGUAACCUGCCUGGUAGCGGGGGAUAACUAUUGGAAACGAUAGCUAAUACCGCAUAAUAUUAAUUAUUGCAUGAUAAUUAAUUGAAAGGUGCAAUUGCACCACUACCAGAUGGACCUGCGUUGUAUUAGCUAGUAGGUGAGGUAACGGCUCACCUAGGCGACGAUACAUAGCCGACCUGAGAGGGUGAGCGGCCACACUGGGACUGAGACACGGCCCAGACUCCUACGGGAGGCAGCAGUAGGGAAACUUCGGCAAGGGGCGGAAGUCUGACCGAGCAACGCCGCGUGAGUGAAGAAGGUUGUCGGAUCGUAAAGCUCGGUUGUAAGGGAAGAACGGGUGUGAGAGUGGAAAGUUCACACUGUGACGGUAUCUUACCAGAAAGGGACGGCUAACUACGUG
rnacentral:rRNA from 1 species